rnacentral:rRNA from 1 species
CAGCCGCCACGGUAAUACGAAGGGGGCUAGCGUUGCUCGGAAUUACUGGGCGUAAAGGGCGCGUAGGCGGACAGUUCAGUCGGGGGUGAAAGCCCGGGGCUCAACCUCGGAAUUGCCUUCGAUACUGGCUGUCUUGAGUAUGAGAGAGGUGUGUGGAACUCCGAGUGUAGAGGUGAAAUUCGUAGAUAUUCGGAAGAACACCAGUGGCGAAGGCGACACACUGGCUCAUUACUGACGCUGAGGCGCGAAAGCGUGGGGAGCAAACAGGAUUAGAUACCCCUGUAGUCCCUGUCUCUUAUAA